GUAGGGAAUCUUCCACAAUGGGCGCAAGCCUGAUGGAGCAACACCGCGUGAGUGAAGAAGGGUUUCGGCUCGUAAAGCUCUGUUGUUAGAGAAGAACGUGCGUGAGAGCAACUGUUCACGCAGUGACGGUAUCUAACCAGAAAGUCACGGCUAACUACGUGCCAGCAGCCGCGGUAAUACGUAGGUGGCAAGCGUUAUCCGGAUUUAUUGGGCGUAAAGCGAGCGCAGGCGGUUUGAUAAGUCUGAUGUGAAAGCCUUUGGCUUAACCAAAGAAGUGCAUCGGAAACUGUCAGACUUGAGUGCAGAAGAGGACAGUGGAACUCCAUGUGUAGCGGUGGAAUGCGUAGAUAUAUGGAAGAACACCAGUGGCGAAGGCGGCUGUCUGGUCUGCAACUGACGCUGAGGCUCGAAAGCAUGGGUAGCGAACAGGA
rnacentral:rRNA from 1 species